rnacentral:rRNA from 1 species
UACGGGGGGAGCAAGCGUUGUUCGGAUUUACUGGGCGUAAAGGGCGCGUAGGCGGCCACCGCAAGUCGACUGUGAAAUCUCCGGGCUUAACCCGGAAAGGUCAGCCGAUACUGCGGGGCUAGAGUGCAGAAGGGGCAACUGGAAUUCUCGGUGUAGCGGUGAAAUGCGUAGAUAUCGAGAGGAACACCUGCGGCGAAGGCGGGUUGCUGGGCUGACACUGACGCUGAUGCGCGAAAGCGUGGGGAGCGAACGGG